UACAGAGGGUGCGAGCGUUAAUCGGAAUUACUGGGCGUAAAGCGUGCGCAGGCGGUUUUGUAAGUCAGAUGUGAAAUCCCCGGGCUUAACCUGGGAAUGGCAUUUGGGACUGCAAGGCUCGAGUGCGGCAGAGGAGACUGGAAUUCCUGGUGUAGCAGUGAAAUGCGUAGAUAUCAGGAGGAACACCGAUGGCGAAGGCAGGUCUCUGGGCUGACACUGACGCUCAUGCACGAAAGCGUGGGGAGCAAACAGG
rnacentral:rRNA from 1 species